rnacentral:rRNA from 1 species
ACAUCUAGCCAUACCAACCUGAGUGCACUUGAUCCCAUCUGAUUUUGGAAGCUGAGCAGGACCUUACCUGGUUAGUAUUUGGAUGGGAGACCUGAGACUACUGGGUGCGGUAGGCU